GUCCCUGUGGAUCAAUGCAGAUCGCUCCAUUCAAUUAAGGGGGGUAUCUUGUAAAUUACUGGAGAGAUGGGCGUUCGAAUCGUCCCGGGGACA